CACAGGGAGGUAGUGACAGUACAUAGUGAUGCAGAGCGGUAACCGUUUUGCAAUCGGAAUGAGAACAAAGUAAAUCAGUUAACGAGUAACAAUUGGAGGGCAAGUCUGGUGCCAGCAGCCGCGGUAAUUCCAGCUCCAAUAGCGUAUAUUAAAGUUGUUGCAGUUAAAAAGCUCGUAGUUGAACGUUUGGCGUGGGCUGGGGGGUGGAUCGAAUGGUCUGACUGCCUGGUUCUGCCUUUUUGGGGGAGGUGGGUAGGUGCAACACCAACCCAGGACGCCCCGGGUUACUGUGAAGAAAUUAGAGUGUUUAAAGCAGGCUUAGGCUUGAAUACGUCAGCAUGGAAUAACAGGAUAGGACUAGUGUUCUACUUGUUGGUUGGAGAGGAUUGGUAAUGAUUAAUAGGGCCAGUUGGGGCAUUGGUAUUCCGUAGUCAGAGGUGAAAUUCUUGGAUUUACGAAAGACCAACUAGAGCGAAAGCAUUUGCCAAGGAUGUUUUCAUUAAUCAAGAACGAAAGUUAGGGGAUCGAAGACGAUCAGAUACCGUCGUAGUCUUGACUAUAAACGAUGCCGACUGGGGGCGGGGGGCUGUUGAAUUUUGACACGCCCCGAACCCAGAGAGAAAUCAAAGUGUUUGGGUUCUGGGGGGAGUACGGUCGCAAGACAGAAACUUAAAGGAAUUGACGGAAGGGCACCACCAGGAGUGGAGCCUGCGGCUUAAUUUGACUCAACACGGGGAAACUCACCAGGUCCGGACAUGGUAAGGAUUGACAGAUUGAGAGCACUUUCAAGAUUCUGUGGGUGGUGGUGCAUGGCCGUUCUUAGUUGGUGGAGUGAUUUGUCUGGUUAAUUCCGAUAACGAACGAGACCUUUGUUUGGGCUUGGUGUUGGGAGGGUUAGUUUACCCGCCUCCACCUCCCACCAAGACACUCUGCGUUUAGCAGAGGGAAGCUGGAGGCAAUAACAGGUCUGUGAUGCCCUUAGAUGUUCUGGGCUGCACGCGCGCUACACUGACAAAGGCAACGAGUAGUGACCUCUGCCGAGAGGCAGGGGAAAUCAGGAAACUUUGUCGUGCUGGGGAUAGAUCAUUGCAAUUAUUGGUCUUGAACGAGGAAUUCCUAGUAAGCGCAAGUCAACAGCUUGCGUUGAUUACGUCCCUGCCCUUUGUACACACCGCCCGUCGCUACUACCGAUU
rnacentral:rRNA from 1 species